rnacentral:rRNA from 1 species
UACGGGAGGCAGCAGUGGGGAAUAUUGCACAAUGGGCGCAAGCCUGAUGCAGCCAUGCCGCGUGUAUGAAGAAGGCCUUCGGGUUGUAAAGUACUUUCAGCGGGGAGGAAGGCGAUGUGGUUAAUAACCGCGUCGAUUGACGUUACCCGCAGAAGAAGCACCGGCUAACUCCGUGCCAGCAGCCGCGGUAAUACGGAGGGUGCAAGCGUUAAUCGGAAUUACUGGGCGUAAAGCGCACGCAGGCGGUCUGUUAAGUCAGAUGUGAAAUCCCCGGGCUUAACCUGGGAACUGCAUUUUGAAACUGGCAGGCUUGAGUCUCGUAGAGGGGGUAGAAUUCCAGGUGUAGCGGUGAAAUGCGUAGAGAUCUGGAGGAAUACCGGUGGCGAAGGCGGCCCCUGGGACGAAGACUGACGCUCAGGUGCGAAAGCGUGGGGAGCAAACAGGAUUAGAUACC